UGGAACAAAAGGUUUAGGUUGA
rnacentral:siRNA from 1 species